UUUUACAACAAUUUAAAGAAAGCUACCACAUUGUCAAAGCAAAUUAACAUUCUUUGAAAAUCAAUCGUCUUUUUUUUAGGUGUAUACUGUAUAUCCUCAGACAUUUCUUUUGCCAGUGAUGGUUUGACACGUUUUUAUCUCCUUGAACAACAAAGCCGUGUAUAAUUCCAUGCAAUUGUCUUUUAAGAUAUGAAGAUGGAAAAAAAACAUAAUUUACAACACAAAUAUAUUAGGUUUUUAUAUAAAAAGCAUCACAUGUAUUGAUCAAAAUGACUUUCUUUACAAUAUUUGAUGCUCAAAAGAGAACUAAUUGUAUUACAUGUUAUAAGUGCAUAUUAUCCCAUUCAAGCUGUGCCAAACAGGAAAAUUGACAAGAAAGCACCUACAUUAGAGUCACAUACCUCCAAGUUGUAAUCAGAUAACAGUCUCUUUAUACUGAAGAAUUAUUAUUCUAAAGGACCUUUUCAGAUGCCUUCUAAUAGGAGUUAGGAAUAUCUUUAUUAAUCUUUAUGUAGAUUAGAAACAUCUUCCACAUAUAUCUUACAUUUCUGUACCUCUUAGUUAUAUUUGUUGAGGAUGCAAAGUCUUUCAACAUAAUGAAACUGCUACUCAAAUAAUUCAAAAACCUAAAGUAAGACAGUUAAUCUAAAGCACAUCCAUACAUACAUAUAAACAUAGAGGAUGAAAACAAAAUUGUCAUGUAUGCACACACAGAGUAUAUAUUCUAUAAUAAUCUCUUCCUAAUCAGUUGUGCACUUUAUAAAACAAUGUAAGAGAAAUGACAAUGCUGUCAUUUGUAUAUUCUUCUUCAGUUCUCUAAUGGAAAGCUUUUUUUUUUUCCUUGCCAACUCAUUCCUGACAAUGUUAAUGAUUCACUAUAAAGCAGCUUCUGUGCUAUGAUUUGUGACAUUCAGGCUGGUUAGAUGGGAGGACUAGGCAGGUUUCUGGGGAGUGUUUUGGAUGCAGAAAUGCCUUGAAGAUAGCACUUUAUUAUAUUUAGGACAAGUAUGACAUCCCACUUCAAGGAAUAGGCCCCUAUACAUAUUGAGAAGGGAUUUCUAUGGUUUAAGUGGGGAGGAGAAGGUUAGUUUAAAAGAAUGCCUCUGUGUUUUUUGAGACGACAUAAAGAUAGGAGGUAGAGAAAUGGAGGCAGGAGGCAGAAGGAUUAUGGAUAAUGGAAGAAUUUUGCCUGAGGGUAUGUGCCUGCUUUGCCUAUUCCUGUAUAACUAGAAUAUUUAUAAUUCAAAUACUUAUCUUUAAUAAUUAAAAAUGAAGGAAUAUUAAAGACAAAAGGUAGAGAAUAUUAUGUACACAUAUGUAGGCAUCAUGCAUUAAGUCCCUACACUUGCAAAAUAUAGCAAGAGGUAGAUUUAAAGAAGGUUAAAAAAGUGAAUAUUUUAAAAUGUCUCAAAAAAAGAAUUUCUAAUUCACUCCAGUUCUGCCAGAAAUGAUACCCCCUUACUUCUUAUUUCUACACAUAACUAGUCAUGGAGAGAGCUACUAAAAAUACACUGCACGGUGGCUUGACAUCAGCACAUCAACAAUUAAAAAGUGGAUACAAAUAUUUCAGGUUUUCACAACCUUAAAAGUUUUGCUCAUGAUUUAUGAAAACAUUGGAUUUGCCAGGGCAAUUGCAUUUUGCUUUUACAGGACACUUAGUUACAUAGCUUAAGUAAACUGCUAGUUGCAACAGAAUGUAAUAUUCUACCACCUUCAGUAGCACCCUCUGAUCUGCUUUCCACAGACAGCAAAGAAACAAAGAAAACCAGCCAUUGCUGUGGAUAGAGUGUUUGAAAGGAGAAAGAGACUUCAAAUAUGCCCUUAGGUAUUAUAAAGCUGUCAAUUACAAGCAGUAAAACAAUACAAAGUCUGCAACAAAUAAUUUAUAAAGAGAAAAUCAUACAAACAAUAACAGAAAUUAAUCCAUUAUCUUUGAAUCAUUUGAAAGAUGCCAUUUCAAAUAUUUUAAAUUAACAUAACUAAACAAAAAAGGUUGCGGUUAAAUAAAAGGUUAUAUUUCAGAAACAGAAAUCUUAUACACCAAAAUAUCAGUAAAUCAAAGAUUCAAGUCAUAUUACUCACUAAGGGUAAAGUAGUUCAAUUUUGAAGUAGCUUGGCUAUAUAUGAAAUUGAAUUUCUGGAUGAUAGGUUAAACUAAUGCUUGAAAAUCAGAGGUGUUAAUAUUUACACCUUUGCUCAUUACAGCAAGGAAAAGACUAAUGAAGAAUUAGACAUCCAAAUGUCUUUACUCUUCCAUCAAACAGAAUAAUCUGUAGCUGAGCAUUAUUAGAACAUGACAAUAUAAGAACUAUUCUUUUAUAUACAUAUAUGAAAUAAUGUUUUUAAAUGGAUGCUGAAACACCUGAUGACAGGUUUAAUAUAUUUAUGCUGAUACGAAAUUAGAACUAUUGAAUAAGACUAAUGAAAUCAUUAUUUCAAAUGGAGGAAGCAUUCGUAAUUUAAAAAUAUACUGGAAAAAGUAGUGAAAUGCUAGUGUUGAAAUAUGAGUACAUUCUGUAUAAUCUACUUCAUCAAACCCUGCAGAUUUAGAUCAACCGUGUUAUUUACUUGGGGCUUUUGAUAGAUGCCUGAAAUAUUACAGAUCAAAUAAACACAUAUGAAGAUCACUGUUUUUAAAGUAUAAAUGUCCAAACAAGAAUUUUAAUUUAAAUCUUGGUUGGUUGGUUGGUUGGUUUGUUUAGUUUGGUUUGAUGUUUUUUUUCCUAGAAAAUAUCGGGAGUUUUCUCUUAGCACACAAACCACCACCUAUCCCAGUCAAUGUAGUGGUGUCAUUGACUUCCAUCAGUUUUAGGUUCGGCUCAUUGGAUAGAGAAACAAGACAAAAAAUAUUAUAGAAUUUUAGGACUUACAGUGUCAGUCUUAAAAUUGUCUGGAAAAGGCAUGUCUAAGUAACAAGGGAAUACAAUGCCACCAGCAUUACCUUCUCAAUGCCAAAGUGACAAAGGCGUUAGGUAGGACUGGGAGCUGCUACACAGCACACAGCACUGGUGAGGGCAGUGGUGACAAUCAGUGCCGGGCGGGCCCAGGAGAGCGAGCCUGCCAGCCCGACAGCGGGAACCCCAACCUCUCCUGUCUCCAUCCUGCAUCCACUGCGGCAGAGGCUCAAGGCAAGCGCAGGUUGUCUUUGCCCACAUCCUGUCAACACAGGUUGAUGAUGAUGAGUAAUAGAUGGGAAAGAUAUGUGAUGCUUAAUUAAUUACGUUUGACUGCUGUGUUCUUUUUUUUCUUUUUUUCUUCUUCUUUUUUUUUUUUUUGUUUAAUUUAUUUUUGUCAUAUGCUUUUUAAGUUUCUAGUAAUUACAAACUUUUAUUUUUGGAGAAUGCUUUUGUGAAGAGGAGCUGUUGCAAGAAAUUUUAUAGUAGUUUAUCCAAAUGCUGAUUCUACCUGUUUGUGAGCUUUUUAUGGAGACAGUGGUGUCUUUUGACUUUUGUACUUUAAAAUAAAACUUAAUUUCUUCAUUUAUGCACAUCUAUUCAUUUGAAAAGCUAUUAUUACAAAGGAAAGGAAAGGAUUUUUUUG
ensembl:lncRNA